AUGCCAUUGAAGAACCAUAUGAAUAAGUUAUCUUGGACUACUGCUAUGAUUUGCUUUUGGUGUAUCAUGCUAUCUUUUGAACAGAGGGAUACAACUCUUACUCAUUUACCACCUAAUUUAUAUGGAUCACUAAUUUAUAUGUUUCUUUAUGGCAUAGCAGAAGUGUCCUGCUAUGUACCAAUCCCUAAUUUAUAUGGUUUUUCUAUGCUAUCUUUUGAAGUAGGCGAAGGCGUCUGUCUGAAAGAAAGUGCUAUGCUUUGGUGUUGUUAUAGGUUCCAGAGGGGGCUGAAGAGGAAGCCAUUGGUUUUUAGAAUAUCACAAAAAUGUUCAGUUUUAGUGUCCAGUUCACUGCCAAUUCUCUUACUGCUUUUGUCGUGA
rnacentral:rRNA from 1 species